AGGGUAACCGACCGUUCUGGUCUGCCUGGGACUGAGUGGAUUCCUGAGAUACGGGACUUUCAGUGCUAAGAUUGGGGUGGU
rnacentral:miRNA from 1 species